rnacentral:rRNA from 1 species
GUCGGGAAUUUUGGGCAAUGGGCGAAAGCCUGACCCAGCAACGCCGCGUGAAGGAUGAAAUCCUUCGGGAUGUAAACUUCGCAAGAACGGGAAGAAUAAGUAAGGGUUAAUAUCUCUUACGAUGACGGUACUGUUUGUAAGCUCCGGCUAACUCCGUGCCAGCAGCCGCGGUAAUACGGGGGGAGCAAGCGUUGUUCGGAUUUACUGGGCGUAAAGGGCGCGUAGGCGGCCACCGCAAGUCGACUGUGAAAUCUCCGGGCUUAACCCGGAAAGGUCAGCCGAUACUGCGGGGCUAGAGUGCAGAAGGGGCAACUGGAAUUCUCGGUGUAGCGGUGAAAUGCGUAGAUAUCGAGAGGAACACCUGCGGCGAAGGCGGGUUGCUGGGCUGACACUGACGCUGAGGCGCGAAAGCUAGGGGAGCGAAC